AACUUACAUACCGGUAUUACCAUCGUUUAAGGACUCUUGGAAGAUUAGUCCAAAUGGGGACUAAAUAAAAGGGAUCCAAAUCAAAUCCAAAUCAAACCAUCAAAAUAGAGUCAAACCCAUGCUGCGUGUAAGGACUUUUCUGUUCUCAUUAGACCGUGUUUGCGCGUGCAGUUAACACUCCCACGCGUCUUAUUAGCAUGCCUAAAAUCAGCAGCCGCCCCUCUGCACAGCUCCCCGAGCAGUCAACAAGCAGUCUGCAUGGACAGGAUGUUGUGGUUGUGCUGGUAACGUGCGCUUCACACCGACAGGCGAGAAUGGAGACACCAUGACGUAGAGACAUGGCUGACCAAGACCAGACGGAGAGCACACAUUACACCUGUUUUAAAGGUCUCUGCACCGGCUGACUCCUUGGACCAAGAGAUUAUGCCCCCAGCAUCUGGAAUAGCCUGCCAAAGAACCUGAGGGGGGCCGAAACUGUGGACAAAUAUAUUUUUUUAAGAUAUUAAAACAUAUUUUUACUAAAACAUACUUUUCUACUAAAAGUAUGUAAAACAUACGUUUCCUUUGGCUGCUGUUUGUCAUUCUUUCGUUUUUUUAAAUCUUGUGUUUGUUGUGUCGUAAAUAUUUCAGCUUUUAUUUUCCUUGUUUUUUUGUGUUUUUUUCCCCCUAUAAAGCACAUUGCAUUGCAUCCCAUGUCUUAAAUGUGCUGUGUAAAUAAAUCUGGAUUUGAUUUGAA